rnacentral:lncRNA from 1 species
UGGUUCUUGAAAGAUUGAAAAAUGGAGUUUCCAGUCGUGUCCGUGCAUUUACGCAUGAACUGUUUUACCAAAGCUUCCCAAAUUUUAAUAUAUUGUUACUGAUGACAAAAUGGAGGUCAAGUUCAAAAAUGACGAUUUUGACUUUUACCGUUCAGGAGUUAUGGUUCUUGAAAGAUUGAAAAAUGGUGUUUCCAGUCGUGUCCGUGUCUUUUCU